CGUCCUUGGAUUUUUUUUUUUUAAUGAAAUUUUUAGAGGAAGAUAUCUGUUAGUUUGGGACGGGCGGCGGGGCCUCUGUGUCGCCUCUCUGCCUCCGCGAUCGCAGCAACCUUCGCGCCUCUAUCGCCGGCGGCGGCGGACCAGUUCUUCUUACAGGCCCCAAACGAUGGAUGGCAACAGGACUUCUUCUCAUCGGCUUGCGGUUGGUGAUAUUGGUGAUGCAUUGCAGCUGAAGG